UGUCUUAUCACCGACAUUGGUUUAGGAAUUCUACUUCAAUGUACUGCGUGCGUGAUGAUAGUGACUCGUACGGAAUUGGUAAGAAACGGUCCACUUGUACUCAUUCAAUCUCUUCGAUUCUUCUUCAAUAGCUGGCUAGGACAGAAAAUAAUAGAUCACAGUUCUCAAAUUUCUGUUGCCGCAUAUAAUGGAAUGUGGUAUCAAACGUGUUUGGAAGUAAAAAAAAUGUUAUUAUUUCUAUUAAUGAAAUGUCAAAAACCAUAUCACAUAACUAUGGUGAAAUUAUAUGUAAUCUGCUUGGAAAAUUAC